rnacentral:rRNA from 1 species
UACGGAGGGUGCAAGCGUUAUCCGGAUUCACUGGGUUUAAAGGGUGCGUAGGAGGGCAGGGAAGUCCGUGGUGAAAUCUCCGAGCUUAACUCGGAAACUGCCGUGGAUACUCUCUGUCUUGAAUCCCGUGGAGAUGAGCGGAAUAUGUCAUGUAGCGGUGAAAUGCAUAGAUAUGACCCGGAACACCUAUUGCGAAGGCAGCAGGCUAAACAAAGAUUGACGCUGAGGCUCGAAAGCGUGGGGAUCAAACAGG